rnacentral:rRNA from 1 species
AGAUUGAACGCUGGCGGCAUGCUUUACACAUGCAAGUCGAACGGUAACAGGCCGCAAGGUGCUGACGAGUGGCGAACGGGUGAGUAAUGCAUCGGAACGUGCCCAGUCGUGGGGGAUAACGCAGCGAAAGCUGUGCUAAUACGCAUACGAUCUAUGGAUAGAACGCGGGGGACCGAAAGGCCUCGCCGCGAGUUGGACGCGGCCGAGUGGUCGAGAGUUACGCGUUAGGUUGGUAGGGGUAAACGGCCCACCGAAGGCGACGAUC